UUCAGACCAGCCAGGGGCCACCCCGGUACCCUCAGAGGAGCAGCCUGCCGGCUCCAUCAGACUUCCGGCACCAGCGCACUAGUGCUCACCGUUGUCCAGGCUUGGGGCACCAGCAUUCUUAACUAGUCCUCUGUUCUCUCCCUCAGCCACUUUGCUGCCUGGCUACGCAGGGCCGCUGCCGGUCCCCCACAGUUCUAUCAUAUGGUUCCCUGACCAGGAACGGCAGAUGAGAGACUCCUGGGGCUGGUUCCCAGUUUGAGUCCCCUGCAGUUCAGGACCAGGACUGGACUGCAUCCUGCAUUAAUUCCUCACUUCUACACUCAGGAGCUGUAACCUUGUCACUGCCGGUUCGCAAACAACACUGACCCAAUUUACCACAGGUGAGCAACCCCUGGAGAUUGCCGCUGGGCCAGGCCCCAGGCGGGUUUUCUCCCCUUUUCCGUGGGUUCCCGUGACACUCUCACGUCCUUAAGACAGCCCAAGACAAGGUCUUUCUGGGCAACCUGUGUCUAUACUGGAGGACUCUCAAAGAACCCAGGUCCUUUGGGUUCGGAUAGCCCAAGGCAGAGUUUUCCUGGGCCAACCCACACUGAAAGGCUCUCACAUCCCUCAGAGCUUUACGCUCUCACGGGCAGAGUUGCUACUGAACCCACAUGAAGUCCACUCAUAAUAUUGGUGAUGGCCAAUUAUUAGGAAUUUUGGAGCCAUAUAAUAACUGAUCGGUCUGGAGUGCAAGGUGAUGACUUUAAACUUGGCAGACCACGGUCUGUUGCCUCAUCUGGCUGUAACUCCAUGGGCUAGACGCCACACCAGAUUCUAUCUUGGGGACCACUUCUUGCCCCCCCCCAAAAAACCAUACCUAUUUAUAGCUUAUCACACUGAUGACAAGUUUACAAAACUCUAUCUUUAAGCCUUUGUUUUGAGAAUGUGUCCUUUCCUGCCAGCAUCCCUGUCCCUUUGUCUCCUCACCACUUCCCCUCCCCUCGCCGUGCCCAUUCCCCACCAGGGAGGGUGGUGAGCAGGGGCAGUGUUGAGAGAUAUGCGCAGGACUGUUUUAAGCUGCUUUGGGCUUUGGGCAGCUUUGGGCUCUCACUCUGCCUCCCAGCUCCACGCGAUAUCUUGGCCACCCUCUUGGUGCUGAGGUCCAGCAGUAGCUCGGGUCCCCCAUAGCAGCCCUGGCUCUGCUUGGCUGUGGCUCUCAUGCGGCUCUCAUGCCGCACUCCAGGUCCACACAUGCAUUCGGCUUUAAUGCUGCGCCCUAGUCCGCGUGUCCCGCAAGCAGUUUCAGCUCCACAUGAUGGUUUGGCCACGCCGGUUGGCUACUGGCCACUGCAGCACCACCUCCGCCUUGUGUGUUUCCAGGGGCAGUUCCAGCCUGCCCCUGCAUGCUACAUCCAGACACUCACCCCACCCACUCUGCAUGUUCCACCUCAGGCUGCGUGCCAGAGAGAUCUCAGCCCCCGCCCCCAAGCGUGGGCACAGCUCCCUGCAAGUGCGCUCUGUCUGCCGGCACACACAGGCACCGCAGACAACUCAUAUUGCUGAUCUGAUGCUGUUCGUGUUUUCAGAUAUAAAGUUCAGAUUGUUUCUGCUGCCUUUUUUGUGUUCCAGCCAUGACAAAUGCCCCCACCCUGGGUGCGCCCCGCCCAGCCUCAGAGUUCCAUCCUCUGUGCGUCUCCCAGACAGGCGCAUUUCCCAGGCAGGCUUCUGCCAAACACAUGCACCACUUUAAAGACAGGCACAGAUAGGCAGCAGCUCGGCGGCUCGACUCAGAGAUCAAUUCCUUUUUGCUAUAAACCACCCAUAAGGUUGUAUGUUAAGCUUACUGCCUGUACUGUAUUGUCAUAAGUGGUGUUCUGUGUUGGGCUUAUUGUCUGUAUUGUACUGUGUUGUCACCGAUAAUCACAAAAAGCUCGAGAGGAUGUAAAUUUGUCUUGGUUUAUAGUACUGCAAAUAACAGGUUUUUAAAAAAAGUAAAUGUGUUCCAAAUUUGACAGUAUUAGAUCAGUUUUGGUAGACUUAUUCAUAAGACUGGUAAACCUUUACUGCAAAAUGUUUCCAUUAAAAUGAGAUUAUACUCCAAAAGAGGGAGGGCAGACUAAAGCCUUUUUGUCAAGUAUGUAAUUUCAGUAUGGCCUGCCAUGUGGCACCCUGGAAAAAGCAGUGUGCCAUCCAGAUAAAGCCUGCUCUCUGAUCUGGAAUGCCAAAACCAUGUUUAAAUAACACCGUAGCUGAUCUCUCUCCUAAAUAAAAGAGUAAAACUUAAUAAACAGGCCAUCCUCUAAAAAUAGAUGGCAUUAGACAUCUUAAUACCAUAAAGAAAUACUUAUGUAUAUGACAUAAAUAACAUGUCAGUUCCUAAAGUUCUCUGGACCUUGUCUUCCUUAUGAGAAGUCAUUACUAAAGUUAUAAAUACCCUGUUGACUCCUACAUACUUACUUAAUCCUACAGAUACCUUCUACUGUAGUCCAAGUCCCAAACAAAUAGGCAAAACCUUAUAGAGAUCUUCAAACCUUAUAGAGAUCUUAAUAUGGUUUUUCAUGUUUUGAACAACAGAGAUAACAGUGACACUUGGAGUUCUGAGACAGGUAAACCUACACAAGGUGGAGCUGCCUGCCCCCCCCCAUGGACCACGCUCACAUGCAGCAGAAGACAUUGGGCAAGAGAGUGCCCCAUCCUGGCAUUCUUUGAGACCUUACUCCAGGGCUACUGGACUGUCCUAGCCACCAGAGAGUGGGUAAGCCAUCCUAACUUCUAGCCCUCAUGGGAAAUGCCAGUACUGCCAGAUUCAUCACUGAAACUUGCUGCCGAAGACUGAUGGGGCUCGGGGCCAACAGCCCCCUUUAUGGGUGUCCGUCUCAGAGUCCAAGUCACACUAAAAGUCUCAGGUAAGACAUUCUCUAUAUUUGUGGACAUAGAGGCCAUACGUACAGAGUUCUUCCUGAGUUUUCAGGCCACUAUAUUAAAUCCUCUUCUAGGAGGUAUUAAAGGUCAAUCUAUACCAUUUACAAACAGGGCCUAUUUAGUGCAGGUCCCAGUCCUAAAUCUUAAAAUGCCUUUUAAUCAAAGUUGCUAGACUGCCAUUCUGGUUUUGCAUCACUCAGGCCCUAGAUCUAACCAUCCUGUUGCCUACUCAUCUCUGCCUUACCAAGGCCUCACAGCCACAACUCACAGGCUAAGUCAUGUUUUGUUAUCCACUUUGUUUCCUAAUUUCUUACGUUCUAUUAAUGAUCAUUUUUACAGCAGGACUCUUAACAGUAUUUCCUACAGACUCCAACGUCAUGCAUACCAGAGACAAGCCUUACCUACCUGCCCUUUUAACUUUUACCUUUUCAGAUGGGGGAGUAAUCACCUCUCAUAACUUCACUCCUCCUAACCCCACACUUAUUUUUCAGAAUUCUGCCUUACCGUGGAAAUGUUCCUACCUCAACGUUGUCCUGAUAUAAUGACAUGUCUAAAUCAAAGGCACCUUUCCUUCUACCUCACCUGGGUCCUUAAAUAUGACAGUGCCAUGCCUCCUCAUAACAUCUUGUCUCUUUGUUUUUUCAGUCUAACAUACAUGCAUUCACCAGUGAAGUUGUCCUGGCUAAAACACCUGGCACCAGCUUCUACAUGUGCAUCAACUGUCAUCCUGUCAACUCCCCUAGACCGCAGUACAGCGCCCUCUGCCAGCAGGAAGCAGUUAAAGAGAGAAAUCUUCACUCCUUUUCAUAAUAAUAAUCAUAAGACGGGAUAUGAAAGGGUUUUGGCCCAGACAGGACACUGUAGCCAGUAAAGCCAAGGAGCUCCUAUCUCCCCCACCCCUAGGAAUUUACCUAUGGUAUGAAACAAAGACCAAUGGGCUACCUGUGCAUCCCUAACGCCCUCUUAGGUUCCACUCACAACCGAGGCUACUUAUGUGCCUCACUCCAUGUGUUCCACAGAGAAAUUGCUGACCCCAGGGGUGGAGAUGCUGUGCCCCAGGGGAUCGGGGGUGUCUCUCCCCGCAUUCUCAAAAUAAAGGUCAUUUAUAUUUCA